GGGGGUAUAGCUCGGUGGUAGAGUGCAGUGCUUAGCAUGCAUGAGGUGCUGGGUUCUAUCCCCAGUGCCUCCA
rfam:Camelus ferus unplaced genomic scaffold scaffold590, whole genome shotgun sequence.